rnacentral:rRNA from 1 species
GCGCGUGCGGGAUGAAGUUCGGGCUGAACCGCUUUCAGCAGGAACGAAAAUGACGGUACCUGCAAAAAGGAGCGGCAACUACGUGCCACAGCCGCGGUGACCGUAGCUCCAAGCGUUGUCCGGAUUUAUUGGGCGUAAAGAGCUCGUAGGCGGUUGAGUAAGUCGGGUGUAAAACUCUGGGCUUAACCCGGAGACGCCAUCCGAUACUGCUCUGACUUGAGUUCAGGAGGGGAGUGGGGAAUUCCUAGUGUAGCGGUGAAAUGCGCAGAUAUUAGGAGGAACACCGGUGGCGAAGGCGCCACUCUGGACUGAAACUGACGCUGAGGAGCGAAAGCAUGGGUAGCAAACAGGAUUAGAUACCCUGGUAGUCCACGCCGUAAACGAUGAAUGCUAGCCGUUGGGGAGCUUGCUCUUCAGUGGCGCAGUUAACACUUUAAGCAUUCCGCCUGGGGAGUACGGUCGCAAGAUUAAAACUCAAAGGAAUUGACGGGGGCCCGGACAAGCGGUGGAGCAUGUGGUUUAAUUCGAACC